rnacentral:rRNA from 1 species
GGAUCGCAAGACCUUGCGCUCAUUGAGCGGCCGAUGCCUGAUUAGCUAGUUGGUGAGGUAAAGGCUUACCAAGGCGACGAUCAGUAGCUGGUCUGAGAGGACGACCAGCCACACUGGGACUGAGACACGGCCCAGACUCCUACGGGAGGCAGCAGUGGGGAAUUUUGGACAAUGGGGGAAACCCUGAUCCAGCCAUGCCGCGUGAGUGAAGAAGGCCUUCGGGUUGUAAAGCUCUUUCAGCCGGAACGAAACGGUCACGGCUAAUAUUCGUGACUACUGACGGUACCGGAAGAAGAAGCACCGGCUAACUACGUGCCAGCAGCCGCGGUAAUACGUAGGGUGCAAGCGUUAAUCGGAAUUACUGGGCGUAAAGCGUGCGCAGGCGGUUUUGUAAGUCAGAUGUGAAAUCCCCGGGCUUAACCUGGGAACUGCGUUUGAAACUAC